rnacentral:rRNA from 1 species
CCUACGGGAGGCAGCAGUGAGGAAUAUUGGUCAAUGGACGAGAGUCUGAACCAGCCAAGUAGCGUGAAGGAUGACUGCCCUAUGGGUUGUAAACUUCUUUUAUAAGGGAAUAAAACGAGGCACGUGUCCCGCUUUGCGUGUACUUGAUGAAUAAGCAUCGGCUAACUCCGUGCCAGCAGCCGCGGUAAUACGGAGGAUGCGAGCGUUAUCCGGAUUUAUUGGGUUUAAAGGGAGCGUAGAUGGGUUGUUAAGUCAGUGGUAAAAGUUUGCGGCUCAACCGGUAGCCGCAGUCAAAACUGCGGUUCUUGAGUGAAGGAGAGGCAGGCGGAAUUCGUAGUGUAGCGGUGAAAUGCGUAGAUAUUAGGAGGAACUCCAGUGGCGAAGGCGGCGUGCUGGGGUUUAACUGACGCUGAGGCUCGAAAGUGUGGGGAGCAAACAGGAUUAGAUACCCCUGUAGUC